rnacentral:lncRNA from 1 species
UUGCUAUCCUGGCAAACCAUUUGCUAGCUAGGAGGCUGCCUUAGACCCAAAGGCUAUUCCUUUCCAGAGUUGGAUGUUAAGGGUUAUCCAUUGAGAAACUGACUUUGUAUGGAAUCCAGGCAAUCCUGCACCUGGCACCACCCAGAUUGAUAAACUGGAUUAUCUGAUCUUGUGGCCCCUACCCAGAAACUGACUCAGCACCAGAGGACAGCUUCGACUCCCUUUGAUUUCAUCUCUAACCCAACCAAUCAGCACUUUUGACUCACUGGCACCCCACCCACCAAGUCCUCCAUAAUAACUCUGAUCCCUGAAUGCUUGGGGAGACUGAUUUGGGUAAUAAUAAAACUCUGGUUUCCCAUGC